GAAAUGCGAUAAUUAAUGUGAAUUGCAGAAUUCAGUGAAUCAUCGAGUCUUUGAACGCACAUUGCGCCCCCUGGUAUUCUGGGGGGCAUGCCUGUCCGAGCGUCAUUGCUGCCCUCAAGCACGGCUUGUGUGUUGGGCUUCCGUCCCUGGCAACGGGGACGGGCCCAAAAGGCAGUGGCGGCACCAUGUCUGGUCCUCGAGCGUAUGGGGCUUUGUCACCCGCUCCCGUAGGUCCAGCUGGCAGCUAGCCUCGCAACCAAUCUUUUUAACCAGGUUGACCUCGGAUCAGGUAGGGAUACCCACUGAACUUAAGC
rnacentral:misc_RNA from 1 species